UACGUAGGGACCGAGCGUUGUCCGGAAUCAUUGGGCGUAAAGAGCGUGUAGGCGGCUAUUUAAGUCCUGCGUGAAAUCCUGCGGCUCAACCGCAGACGGUCGUGGGAAACUGGAUGGCUAGAGUGCGGGAGAGGAGAGUGGAAUUCCCGGUGUAGCGGUGAAAUGCGCAGAUAUCGGGAAGAACACCCGUGGCGAAGGCGGCUCUCUGGAACGCAACUGACGCUGAGACGCGGAAAAGCGUGGGGGAGCAAAACAGGG
rnacentral:rRNA from 1 species